rnacentral:lncRNA from 1 species
AGAACUCAAAAAGAUAGACUCCAGAGAACCAAAUAACCCCAAAAAAAUUGGGGUACAGAGCAAAACAAAGCAUCCUCAGCUGAGAAAUAUCGAAAGCAGAAAAGCACCUAAAGAAAUGUUCAACAUCCUUAGUCAUCAGGGAAAUGCAAAUCAAAAGAACCCUGAGAUUCCACCUCACACCAGUGAGAAUGGCUAAGAUAAAAAACUCAGGUGACAGCAGAUGCUGGCGAGGAUGUGGAGAAAGAGGAACACUCGUCCAUUGUUGGUGGGAUUGCAGACUGGUACAACCAUUCUGGAAAUCAGUCUGGAGGUUCCUCAGAAAGUUGGACACUCCACUAUCUGAGGACCCAGCUAUAUGACUCCUGGGCAUAUACCCAAAAUAUGCUUCCACAUACAACAAAGACACGUGCUCCAUUAUGUUCAUAGCAACCUUAUUUAUAACAGCCAGAACCUGGAAAGAAC